CCUACGGGUGGCAGCAGUGGGGAAUAUUGCUCAAUGGGCGCAACCCUGAUCCAGCGACGUCGCGUGAGUGAUGAAGGACCUCGGUAUUGUAAACUUUAUUUGUAGGGGAGUAAAGUUCGGCACGUGAGUCUUUUUCUCUGUACUUUAUCAAUACGGAUCGGCUAACUCCGUGCCAGCAGCCGCGGUAAUACGGAGGGGCCGGGCGUUAUCCGGAUUUAUUGGGUUUAAAGGGAGCGUCGAUGGGUGUAUAAGUAUGGAGUGAAAGGUCGGGGCGCAACCGUACAAUUGCAGUUGAUACUGGCAGGCUUGAGUACAGGAGAGGUAGGCGGAAUUCGUGGUGUAGCGGUGAAAUGCGUAGAUAUCACGAAGAACUCCGAUGGCGAAGGCAGCUUACUGAACUGCAACUGACGUUGAGGCUCGAAAGCGUGGGUAGCAAACAGGAUUAGAUACCCCUGUAGUC
rnacentral:rRNA from 1 species